rnacentral:rRNA from 1 species
UACGAAGGGGGCUAGCGUUGCUCGGAAUCACUGGGCGUAAAGGGUGCGUAGGCGGGUCUUUAAGUCAGGGGUGAAAUCCUGGAGCUCAACUCCAGAACUGCCUUUGAUACUGAGGGUCUUGAGUUCGGGAGAGGUGAGUGGAACUGCGAGUGUAGAGGUGAAAUUCGUAGAUAUUCGCAAGAACACCAGUGGCGAAGGCGGCUCACUGGCCCGAUACCGACGCUGAUGCACGAAAGCGUGGGGAGCAAACAGG